UUCCGGUUGAUCCUGCCGGAGGUCACUGCUAUCAGUAUUCGAUUAAGCCAUGCGAGUCAAAUGUUUUUCGUAAACAUGGCGUACUGCUCAGUAACACGUGGAUAAUCUGCCCUAAGGUCUGGCAUAACUCCGGGAAACUGGUGAUAAUUCCAGAUAUGCCAUAGAAACUGGAAUGUUCUGUGGUCAAAAGCUCCGGCGCCUUAGGAUGAAUCUGCGGCCUAUCAGGUUGUAGUGGGUGUAGUGUACCUACUAGCCGACGACGGGUACGGGUUGUGAGAGCAAGAGCCCGGAGAUGGAUUCUGAGACAUGAAUCCAGGCCCUACGGGGCGCAGCAGGCGCGGAAACUUUACAAUGCGGGAAACCGCGAUAAGGGGAUACUGAGUGCCAGCAUCUUAUGUUGGCUGUCCGCAUGUAUAAAUAGCAUGUGUUAGCAAGGGCCGGGCAAGACCGGUGCCAGCCGCCGCGGUAACACCGGCGGCCCGAGUGGUGGCCACUAUUAUUGGGUCUAAAGGGUCCGUAGCCGGUUCGAUCAGUCUUCCGGGAAAUCUGACAGCUCAACUGUUAGGCUUCCGGGGGAUACUGUCGGACUUGGGACCGGGAGAGGUAAGAGGUACUACAGGGGUAGGAGUGAAAUCUUGUAAUCCUUGUGGGACCACCAGUGGCGAAGGCGUCUUACCAGAACGGGUCCGACGGUGAGGGACGAAAGCUGGGGGCACGAACCGGAUUAGAUACCCGGGUAGUCCCAGCCGUAAACGAUGCUCGCUAGGUGUCUGGGACGGUGCGACCGUUUCAGGUGCCGCAGGGAAGCCGUGAAGCGAGCCACCUGGGAAGUACGGCCGCAAGGCUGAAACUUAAAGGAAUUGGCGGGGGAGCACUACAACGGGUGGAGCCUGCGGUUUAAUUGGAUUCAACGCCGGA
rnacentral:rRNA from 1 species